UGCCAGCCGCCGCGGUAAUACGGAGGGGGCAAGCGUUGUUCGGAAUUACUGGGCGUAAAGGGCGCGUAGGCGGGAUAUCAAGUCAGGGGUGAAAGGCCUGGGCUCAACCUGGGAACUGCCUUUGAAACUGAUAUUCUUGAGUCCGGAAGAGGAUGGCGGAAUUCCCAGUGUAGAGGUGAAAUUCGUAGAUAUUGGGAAGAACACCGGUGGCGAAGGCGGCCAUCUGGUCCGGCACUGACGCUGAGGCGCGAAAGCGUGGGGAGCAAACAGGAUUAGAUA
rnacentral:rRNA from 1 species